GCCAGGUGCAAUGGCUUGUGCCUGUGAUCCAAGCUCCUCAGGAGGCUGAGGUGGGAGGAUCACUUGUGCCCAGGACUUUGAGGCUGCAGUCAGCUAUGAUUGGGCCACUGCACUCCAGCCUGGGUGACAGUGAGAGCCCAUCUCUU
rnacentral:SRP_RNA from 1 species